UAUAUACAUAUAUUUAUACUUACCGUUAAAUAGUAACCCCUUCACAAAAUUAUAACUCAUUUUUAUUAAACAUAGGUACGGAAUGCUUAUUUUAUUUACGUGAUAAAAAAAAAAAAAAAAAAAAAAAACGAAACAGACGUAUUAGUGUGUGGUAUUUAUGUUUCUACUCUUUAUUCUAUAUUUGAUGCACAUCUACCUAUUUUUUUUUUUUUUUUUUUUUUUUUUUUUUUUUUAAAAUUUAAAAAAAAUUAAAAUUUUUAAAAAAUAAUUAAAACAAAAAUGGACAGUAAGGGUAAUAGUAGCAGAUUUAAUUCAUUUAAUGAAAAUAUGUGGGUGCAAGAAGAAAUAAAUAAAAUGACAAGUAAUUCUACAAAUUUACACGAUGUAUCUAAUAUUAAGAAAGAUGAUGAGGAAACAUUUUUAUCAAACACAACAGAGAGAUAUGACAACUUUAAUACAUACACAGAUGAAUACACAAAUUUGUUUAAUACCAAUACCACCAACAACAACACCAACAACACCAUCACCCAUAAUAAUUAUAGUAACCAUAAUAAUUAUAGUAACCAUGAUACAUCUUCACAACAUGGUGAACAAAAUAUUGAACCACACGAUGGACAACAAAUAUUUUCACCAUACAACUGUACUUAUGAUAUAACAAAAACAGACAUAGCUAUAAAUUCUGUUAAUGAUUUAAUGAAUGAAAUAAAAAUGUUUAAUAAUUCAAUGCAAUUAAUAUCGUCCACAGAUAAUUUACCAUUUCAUAAAAACUUUUCCAAAAUAUAUUCUGAAAAAAUAGAUUAUAAUAAUAGUAAAUUUUUGAAAGAGAAUAACACGGAUGGGUGUGAUAAGAAAGACACAAAUUAUAUCCCACUUGAGAAUAAUACUAGUAUGCAAGAAAAAGAAAAUAUGAAUACUGACAAACCUGUUGGUACUACUAAAUUGGAUAUACCAAUUGAGACAUCCCGACAUGCACAAAAACAAGAAGAAGAAGGAGGAGAAGAAGGAGAAGAAGGAGAAGAAGAAGGAGAAGAAGAAGGAGAA
rnacentral:lncRNA from 1 species